rnacentral:rRNA from 1 species
AUUGAACGCUGGCGGCAUGCCUUACACAUGCAAGUCGAACGGCAGCACGGGUGCUUGCACCUGGUGGCGAGUGGCGAACGGGUGAGUAAUGCAUCGGAACGUACCCGGAAGUGGGGGAUAACGUAGCGAAAGUUACGCUAAUACCGCAUAUUCUGUGAGCAGGAAAGAGGGGGAUCGCAAGACCUCUCGCUUUCGGAGCGGCCGAUGUCGGAUUAGCUAGUUGGCGGGGUAAGAGCCCACCAAGGCGACGAUCCGUAGCGGGUCUGAGAGGAUGAUCCGCCACACUGGGACUGAGACACGGCCCAGACUCCUACGGGAGGCAGCAGUGGGGAAUUUUGGACAAUGGGCGCAAGCCUGAUCCAGCCAUGCCGCGUGAGUGAAGAAGGCCUUCGGGUUGUAAAGCUCUUUCGGCUGGGAAGAAAUCGCAUCUCCUAAUACGGGGUGUGGAUGACGGUACCAGCAUAAGAAGCACCGGCUAACUACGUGCCAGCCGCCGCAGUAACAC